rnacentral:rRNA from 1 species
GAUGAACGCUGGCGGCGUGCCUAAUACAUGCAAGUCGAGCGAAACGGACGAGAAGCUUGCUUCUCUGAUGUUAGCGGCGGACGGGUGAGUAACACGUGGAUAACCUACCCAUAAGACUGGGAUAACUUCGGGAAACCGGAGCUAAUACCGGAUAAUAUUUUGAACCGCAUGGUUCAAAAGUGAAAGACGGUCUUACUGUCACUUAUGGAUGGAUCCGCGCUGCAUUAGCUAGUUGGUAAGGUAACGGCUUACCAAGGCAACGAUGCAUAGCCGACCUGAGAGGGUGAUCGGCCACACUGGAACUGAGACACGGUCCAGACUCCUACGGGAGGCAGCAGUAGGGAAUCUUCCGCAAUGGGCGAAAGCCUGACGGAGCAACGCCGCGUGAGUGAUGAAGGUCUUCGGAUCGUAAAACUCUGUUAUUAGGGAAGAACAUAUGUGUAAGUAACUGUGCACAUCUUGACGGUACCUAAUCAGAAAGCCACGGCUAACUACGUGCCAGCAGCCGCGGUAAUACGUAGGUGGCAAGCGUUAUCCGGAAUUAUUGGGCGUAAAGCGCGCGUAGGCGGUUUUUUAAGUCUGAUGUGAAAGCCCACGGCUCAACCGUGGAGGGUCAUUGGAAACUGGAAAACUUGAGUGCAGAAGAGGAAAGUGGAAUUCCAUGUGUAGCGGUGAAAUGCGCAGAGAUAUGGAGGAACACCAGUGGCGAAGGCGACUUUCUGGUCUGUAACUGACGCUGAUGUGCGAAAGCGUGGGGAUCAAACAGG